GCUGUAGCUCAGUGGCUGAGUAUCUGUUUUGCAUAUGGAUGGUCCCAGUUUUAUUCACUGGCAUCUCCA